rnacentral:rRNA from 1 species
AACGAACGCUGGCGGCAGGCCUAACACAUGCAAGUCGAGCGGAUGACGGGAGCUUGCUCCUUGAUUCAGCGGCGGACGGGUGAGUAAUGCCUAGGAAUCUGCCUGGUAGUGGGGGACAACGUUUCGAAAGGAACGCUAAUACCGCAUACGUCCUACGGGAGAAAGCAGGGGACCUUCGGGCCUUGCGCUAUCAGAUGAGCCUAGGUCGGAUUAGCUAGUUGGUGGGGUAAUGGCUCACCAAGGCGACGAUCCGUAACUGGUCUGAGAGGAUGAUCAGUCACACUGGAACUGAGACACGGUCCAGACUCAUACGGGAGGCAGCAGGGGGGAAUAUUGGACAAUGGGCGAAAGCCUGAACCAGCCAUGCCGCGUGUGUGAAGAGGGUCUUCGGAUUGUAAAGCACUUUGAGUUGGGAGGAAGGGCAGUAAGCUAAUACCUUGCUGUUUUGACGUUACCGACAGAAUAAGCACCGGCUAACUCUGUGCCAGCCGCCGCCGUAAGAC